GGCUCUAGUCGGCCUCUGGAGAUCUGCAGCUGGGUUAUUUUACUUCUGAAACGGACGACACCUGCCCCGCGCACCCCAGCGGCUCCUCCACACGGAGAGAUGGUGUCAGUCAAAGGCCGUCUAGAUGACGAGUUUAUGAAAUUGUUCCUGGCCCGUGCCGGGCACGACCUUGCAGAGAGCCCAGAAGAUGAAACCCCAGCCCUGCCAGGAGCUCACCUGCUAAUUAGGAGGACAACGAAUCACCUCACCUCCCUAGACUUUGCUUCUCCUUUAUUCAGUGAGGGAUUGGACUAGCUGGUCCUUAAGGACUUUUCAGAAAGUCUGGUUCUGGGAGAUGACCAAUGGGAUCAUCUUAUGCUAUGAGCUUUCCUGGAAUGACAGGUAAUGGAGAGUGAGGAGAUUUUACCUGAUAUGGUCCUGUUUGCACCGUCAGCCAGCAACCUUUCUGGGAAGCAUGCUUAUUAUGUACCAACAUAGAAGCUUGAAUAUAAGGUCUGCCCACAUCAGUGCCCACCAGGAAAACUGCUGCUUGUGUUAUCAAGAAUUUAAAGGCCAUGCUAUCCAUCAUGUGUUACCUCACAUUGGUGUUCCCCGCUUCUUUCACUCAGAAUGCUAACUCUUCAGAGACACAGGAAAGUGCCAGUUUCAACAAAUGCAAUGAUUUAAAGCCAUAAAUGUAACAGGAAGAUCUAAUUCUGGAAGACAUACAAAUGCCGAAAGGAAAAUUAAAGCCACUUACCCCGAGGAAGAGAUGAAGGUGAAGAACUUUCUGGGCCUGAGUCUGUGGAUGGGUUCUCUACCUGGCCUGUGCCUUGUUGCCUGUUCCUUUACUGUACAUGUGAUGACAAGAAAAGAAGAUGGACCCUCCAUGUUGAACAUGCCUGGCCCUCAGAUGAGUAAACAGGAAGACUGAACUGUUUCUCAACUCCCAAAUUCAGGCUUCUUUCAAAAUCUACAGUAUCAUUGGGGGCUGUUAUACCAGGACACAUGGAGGUGAAGAACUAAAGCAAAAUCGUGUCUACUUCACAGUUUUGCCUAAGGCUGGGCUUAAUUCUUAAAAAGAUAAAACUCUGCAAAGACAAUGUCUAGCACUUAUAUCUCCAGUAACUCCUGUCAAGGUUUAUUGUUGCUUGUUCAUCAUUGCAGUCCUGACUACAAGUGUGAUUGCACUUUCUAUUGUUUUGUCAGAAUUUCCUGAAAAGAUACAAAGGCCCUUCUGACCAUUGGAUUGGCCUUAGAAGAGAAUCAUCCCAUCGCAUUUGGAAAUGGACAGACAACAUGGAAUAUAAUAACAUGCUUGCUAUCAGAGGAAGUGGAGAAUGUGCCUUCCUGAAUGACAAUGGAGUCAACAGUGGCAGAAUCUACAUGAACAGAAAAUGGAUUUGUAGCAAGCCAAACAAUUAUGUCUACAGUUGCCAGUUAUGUCCCCACUGGGAUACUACCUAGUAGAGCUGUGAGAAGAGGGCCACCAUCCUCCAGACUCCAGAAUGGUGGAAUCAGCAGCAGCUUCCACCAUGCCCCUGGAAAAACUGCAAGUAACAGACCUGCACAUGUAUCCCCUACAUCUAAAAUAAAAGUUGGAAAAAAUGGAACUUUGAUGUUAAGAUGCACUGAUACAAAACUUAAAUUUUGGUCUCCUACAUUAAAACAAUAUGAGUCUCUUAAAAUAUUGAUUUGUUCUUAGUAAGAUUACAAGAGGCUUUGAUUUUUAAUUCUGCAAUGUUUCCUUAACAGCCAUUCUGAAUUACAAACUAAUUCCUAUUUCUGCCACAUUCCUUCCUGAGAACUGUCUAGUCCUGGUUUGGGAUUUAUCUUAAAGGUCUAGAAAGGCAACAUUUUACUUCAGCAAAACUUGAUUCUAUAUUGUUGUUUUUUCUUAAUGUGUCAAAAUUGUUUUGUUACUAGGAUUUCCUAUGUUGUUAUUAAAUGUAUUCCCCUGAUCAAGGUCACUGGCCUAGAAAACAAAGAUUCUGUGUUUUACCAAGAUAAUUCCCAGUGCUUCAUGGUGUCUUUAUUAGGCUUUGACUGCUUAGGGAAACUGAGCCUUAAAAGGGUAAAAGUUUUUCCAUCCAUGUAACUUUCUGAGGUCUUUAGGUUGUCACUCUGAUUAAAUGAGUAGUAUUCUUAGCAGUGACUUAUUAUCUGUUGAAGGAAGUAUUUUAAGCUUUUUGACAUCUUUGGCAGGUUUCUCUAGAAUCCAAAUCCUAAAUUAAGCCUUUUGGCCUAAAAAUGACUGGGAUUUUUCCAGGUGGACCCCCUAGAUAUGCUCCUCCAAAGGCUUGUCUUUCUUGUAGAGUUAUUAAAUGAUUAGGCUUAUUUGGCAAAUACUGCUAGAAGCAUUGUCAAAUAAGAAAUGGUGUUUUACCUUUCUUUAAGCUGUGUUUGUGUAAGUUCAUCAUUUAUAGAAAUGUGAAAUUUUAUGAGAUUCCUAAGAUACUGACAUGCUGAGAUACCUGUAAUAAUUGCAAUUUUUAUGUUGGAUGAUUGUAUGCCACAGAAGCACUUAAAUUUCCUGGUUAAUUGGUAACGUUAAUCAGAUCUUUACCUAUGGCUGUUCUGGGUUUUUGUCAUUCACAGUUAUUAUUUUAAUUUCUUCUUUGGAAGCGUUCGCAAUCAGCUAUAGUCCAAAAUUGCUAAUUAAGAUCAAGCAAAACAAAAUUAAUUACGUAAAAUUAAUUUAUAAGGAUGUUUUUAUGACGUAAAUGUUUUAUUUUCCAGAGCCAAGGAAAUUUUCUGUCACAAGCUAUCUACCGUUUGCAAUAAUUUG
ensembl:lncRNA novel transcript